GACGAACGCUGGCGGCGUGCUUAACACAUGCAAGUCGAACGGAAAGGCCCUGCUUUUGUGGGGUGCUCGAGUGGCGAACGGGUGAGUAACACGUGAGUAACCUGCCCUUGACUUUGGGAUAACUUCAGGAAACUGGGGCUAAUACCGGAUAGGAGCUCCUGCUGCAUGGUGGGGGUUGGAAAGUUUCGGCGGUUGGGGAUGGACUCGCGGCUUAUCAGCUUGUUGGUGGGGUAGUGGCUUACCAAGGCUUUGACGGGUAGCCGGCCUGAGAGGGUGACCGGCCACAUUGGGACUGAGAUACGGCCCAGACUCCUACGGGAGGCAGCAGUGGGGAAUAUUGCACAAUGGGCGGAAGCCUGAUGCAGCAACGCCGCGUGCGGGAGGACGGCCUUCGGGUUGUAAACCGCUUUCGCCUGUGACGAAGCGUGAGUGACGGUAAUGGGUAAAGAAGCACCGGCUAACUACGG
rnacentral:rRNA from 1 species